rnacentral:rRNA from 1 species
AGAGUUGAUUAUGGCUCAGGAUGAACGCUAGCGACAGGCUUAACACAUGCAAGUCGAGGGGCAGCGGGGGAGUAGCAAUACUCCCGCCGGCGACCGGCGCACGGGUGAGUAACACGUAUGAAACCUGCCCGUAGCAGGGGGAUAAGCGGAAGAAAUUCCGUCUAAUACCGCGUAACAACCCUUGGAGGCAUCUCCUCGGGUUUAAAGGGAGCGAUUCCGGCUACGGAUGGUCAUGCGUCGCAUUAGCUUGUUGGCGGGGUAACGGCCCACCAAGGCGACGAUGCGUAGGGGUUCUGAGAGGAAGGUCCCCCCACACUGGUACUGAGACACGGACCAGACUCCUACGGGAGGCAGCAGUGAGGAAUAUUGGUCAAUGGCCGCAGGGCUGAACCAGCCAAGUCGCGUGAGGGAUGACGGUCCUAUGGAUUGUAAACCUCUUUUGUCAGGGAGCAAAGGGCGCCACGUGUGGCGUUUUGCGAGUACCUGAAGAAAAAGCAUCGGCUAACUCCGUGCCAGCAGCCGCGGUAAUACGGAGGAUGCGAGCGUUAUCCGGAUUUAUUGGGUUUAAAGGGUGCGCAGGCGGAAUGUCAAGUCAGCGGUAAAAUUUCGGGGCUCAACCCCGUCGUGCCGUU